rnacentral:rRNA from 1 species
CCUACGGGUGGCAGCAGUGGGGGAUAUUGCACAAUGGGGGGAACCCUGAUGCAGCGACGCCGCGUGAGUGAAGGAGCGUUUCGGUGCGUAAAGCUCUAUCGGCAGGGAAGAUAAUGACGGUACCUGACUAAGAAGCCCCGGCUAACUACGUGCCAGCAGCCGCGGUAAUACGGAGGGGGCAAGCGUUAUCCGGAUUUACUGGGUGUAAAGGGGGCGUAGACGGCAUGGCAAGUCAGGAGUGAAAGCCCGGGGCUCAACCCCGGGACUGCCUUGGAAACUGUAGGGCUGGAGUGCAGGAGGGGUAGGCGGAAUUCCUAGUGUAGCGGUGAAAUGCGUAGAUAUUAGGAGGAACACCGGUGGCGAAGGCGGCUUACUGGACUGUGACUGACGUUGAGGCCCGAAAGCGUGGGGAGCAAACAGGAUUAGAUACCCCUGUAGUC